CACCGGCGGCUCGAGUGGUGGCCCCUUUUAUUGGGUCUAAAGCGUCCGUAGCCGGCUUGGCAAGUCCCCUGGGAAAUCUGGCGGCUUAACCGUCAGGCGUCCAGAGGAUACUGCCAGGCUUGGGACCGGGAGAGGUGAGAGGUACCUCAGGGGUAGGGGUGAAAUCUUGUGAUCCCUGAGGGACCACCAGUGGCGAAGGCGUCUCACUAGAACGGGUCCGACGGUCAGGGACGAAAGCUGGGGGCACGAACCGG
rnacentral:rRNA from 1 species